GACGAACGCUGGCGGCGUGCUUAACACAUGCAAGUCGAACGAAGAGCGAUGGAAGCUUGCUUCUAUCAAUCUUAGUGGCGAACGGGUGAGUAACGCGUAAUCAACCUGCCCUUCAGAGGGGGACAACAGUUGGAAACGACUGCUAAUACCGCAUACGAUCUAAACUCGGCAUCGAGGAUAGAUGAAAGGUGGCCUCUACAUGUAAGCUAUCACUGAAGGAGGGGAUUGCGUCUGAUUAGCUAGUUGGAGGGGUAACGGCCCACCAAGGCGAUGAUCAGUAGCCGGUCUGAGAGGAUGAACGGCCAAAUUGGGACUGAGACACGGCCCAGACUCCUACGGGAGGCAGCAGUGGGGAAUCUUCCGCAAUAGACGAAAGUCUGACGGAGCAACGCCGCGUGAGUGAUGACGGCCUUCGGGUUGUAAAGCUCUGUUAAUCGGGACGAAAGGCCUUCUUGCGAAUAGUGAGAAGGAUUGACGGUACCGGAAUAGAAAGCCACGGCUAACUACGUG
rnacentral:rRNA from 1 species